rnacentral:rRNA from 1 species
AUUUAUUUAUAAUAAAUUUUGAUGGCGACCGGCGUACGGGUGCGUAACACGUACGUAACCUACCUUUUGCUAGAAAAUAGCCUGAGGAAACUUAGAUUAAUGUUCUAUAGUAUAACAGAAUCGCAUGAUUCUGUUAUUAAAGUAGCAAUACGGCAAAAGAUGGGCGUGCGUCCGAUUAGUUAGUUGGUAAGGUAAAGGCUUACCAAGACAGUGAUCGGUAGGGGGCCUGAGAGGGUGAUCCCCCACACUGGUACUGAGACACGGACCAGACUCCUACGGGAGGCAGCAGUGAGGAAUAUUGGUCAAUGGAGGAAACUCUGAACCAGCCACGCCGCGUGCAGGAAGAAUGCCUUACGGGCUGUAAACUGCUUUUGUUUAGGAAUAAAAAUUCUUACGUGAUAAGGAUUGUGAAUGUACUAUACGAAUAAGUGUCGGCAAACUCCGUGCCAGCAGCCGCGGUAAUACGGAGGACACGAGCGUUAUCCGGAUUUAUUGCGUUUAAA